rnacentral:snoRNA from 1 species
ACCGAGACUAGAGUCACAUCCUGACAUUUCUCAUUGUUUUGGUGUGCUAUAGUCCUCGGAGAAAAAACACUUAUCUUUAUUCACUGCCUGUGGUAUUUCAUGCCUCAGUAAGUCACCGGAUCAGUAACAUCA